rnacentral:rRNA from 1 species
UACGGGGGGAGCAAGCGUUGUUCGGAUUUACUGGGCGUAAAGGGCGCGUAGGCGGCCACCGCAAGUCGACUGUGAAAUCUCCGGGCUUAACCCGGAAAGGUCAGCCGAUACUGCGGGGCUAGAGUGCAGAAGGGGCAACUGGAAUUCUCGGUGUAGCGGUGAAAUGCGUAGAUAUCGAGAGGAACACCUGCGGCGAAGGCGGGUUGCUGGGCUGACACUGACGCUGAAGCGCGAAAGCGUGGGGAGCAAACGGG